GGACUACUAGGGUUUCUAAUCCUGUUUGCUCCCCUAGCUUUCGUCAUUCAGCGUCAGUUGUGGUCCAGCGCGCCGCUUUCGCCACGGGUGUUCCUGCAGAUAUCUACGCAUUUCACCGCUACACCUGCAAUUCCACGCGCCUCUCCCACACUCCAGCACAGCAGUUUCGGAAGCCGUCUCUGAGUUAAGCCCAAAGAUUUCACCCCCGACUUGCCACACCGCCUACUGACCCUUUACGCCCAGUAAUUCCGAGCAACGCUGGCCCCCUACGUCUUACCGCGGCGGCUGGCAC
rnacentral:rRNA from 1 species